rnacentral:rRNA from 1 species
CCUACGGGGGGCUGCAGUGGGGAAUAUUGCACAAUGGGCGAAAGCCUGAUCCAGCCAUGCCGCGUGUGUGAAGAAGGCCUUCGGGUUGUAAAGCACUUUCAGUGGGGAAGAAAGCCUUGGGGCUAAUACCCUCGAGGAAGGACAUCACCCACAGAAGAAGCACCGGCUAACUCCGUGCCAGCAGCCGCGGUAAUACGGAGGGUGCGAGCGUUAAUCGGAAUUACUGGGCGUAAAGCGCGCGUAGGCGGUCUGAUAAGCCGGUUGUGAAAGCCCCGGGCUCAACCUGGGAACGGCAUCCGGAACUGUCAGGCUAGAGUGCAGGAGAGGAAGGUAGAAUUCCCGGUGUAGCGGUGAAAUGCGUAGAGAUCGGGAGGAAUACCAGUGGCGAAGGCGGCCUUCUGGACUGACACUGACGCUGAGGUGCGAAAGCGUGGGUAGCAAACAGGAUUAGAUACCCGAGUAGUC